rnacentral:rRNA from 1 species
UACGAAGGGGGCUAGCGUUGUUCGGAUUCACUGGGCGUAAAGGGUGCGUAGGUGGCUUGACAAGUUUGAUGUGAAAUCUCCGGGCUUAACCCGGAAAAUGCAUUGAAUACUGUAGAGGCUUGAGGUUUGGAGGGGGGACUGGAAUUCUCGGUGUAGCAGUGAAAUGCGUAGAUAUCGAGAGGAACACCAGUGGCGAAGGCGAGUCCCUGGACAACACCUGACACUGAGGCACGAAAGCCGGGGGAGCAAACAGG